rnacentral:lncRNA from 1 species
GAAUAUUGUAAGUGCUCAAUAGUUCACUCUUGUUUUCACCAGCUGUUGCCCUUGCACGCACAUACAUUUUCAUAUAUUACUUUAAUAAUUUAUUUAGUAGGCUGUUUGUAUACAUAUUUGGAUUUUUCUACCCUGUUGUCAGAUAUUACCCCACUAGUGUGUCUAUACCUGAUCUCAGAGGUCAGGUUGUUUCCUUUCCAUUGAUGCUUCCUUACUCAUUUUAUUUUCCUUUUGAAUCCUCAUGAUACUUGGCAUUACUGGUUUAACAUCCAUCGUUUUUGCAAAAAGUCAUUUCCUUGAAAGCAAGGCCAUGACUAUCUUGCUCACUGUCAUAUCAUCAGCCUCUAACAAAAAGAGUGAUAGAUAGUAGGAAUUUAAGAAGUAUUUAAUGAAUGGAAUUGUUACUGAAAUUCAGUAUUUCCCUUGUAGAAUGUAACUGUCCCUGGGUUGAGUGACACAUUAAUUUAUGUUCCAUUAAAACUAUACAUUUUCUUUCUUUCUUUUUUUUCUUUUUUUUUUUUAGACAGAGUCUUGGUCUGUUGCCCAGGUUGGAGUGCAACGGCCCAGUCUUGGCUCACUGCAACCUCCGCCUCCUGGAUUCAAGUGAUUCUCCUGCCUCAGCCUCCUGAGUAGCUGCGAUUACAGGCGCCCACCACUGUGCCCGGCUAAUUUUUGUAUUUUUAGUAGAGAUGGGAUUUCACCAUGUUGGCCAGGCUGGUUUCAAACUCCUGACCUCAGGUGAUCCGCCUACCUCGGCAUCCCAAAGUUUUGGGAUUACAGGCAUGAGCCACUGUGCCCAGCCCAUAUUUUCAAACAAUAUCCUAGAAGUCAAUGGUGAACAAGAGACAUUCAACUGGCAGUGAGGAGUGAACAGUGAAGGAGACAAGGCCAACUUGUCGUACAUGCAAAGCACGAAUAAUGAGCAAAGAUAAAACACGUUUGAGAGCUAUGACAAAGAUACCAGAGGGUUACCUUUCCUCAGACUAAAAAUAUUCUGAACUGUUUUAUGCAAACUUUAACCUUUCCUGGAGAAGUGUUUAUAAAGGAAGUGUUGUUUGUGACCCUCAUUCAUGAUGAUUCUAUGAAUCAACAAAAUAUCUUCAGCAAUGGAA